GAAAGUAAACAAGGGCGCAUGGAGGAUGCCUAGGCUCUCGGAGGCGAAGAAGGACGUGAUAAGCUGCGAAAAGUUACGGUAAGGCGCAAAUAGCCCUAGACCCGUAAAUAUCCGAAUGGGGCAACCCGGCCAGCAAUGGCCAUACCGCCAAGCGGUAAGCCAACGCGGGGAACUGAAACAUCUAAGUACCCGCAGGAAAAGAAAAUAACAAUGAUUCCGCCAGUAGUGGCGAGCGAACGCGGAACAGCCCAAACCACCCGUGUUACGGCACGAGUGGGGUAGAAGGAUCCACGCUACGGCAAGAAAUAAGUUAGCAGAAUACGAUGGAAAUCGUAGCCAGAGACGGUGACAGCCCGGUACGCGAAAACGGACAGAAGCCCAGUGGACACCUGAGUAACCCAGGACACGAGAAAUCCGGGGCGAAUCAGCGGGGCCCAUCCCGUAAGGCUAAAUACUCCCGAGAGACCGAUAGCGAACCAGUACUGUGAAGGAAAGGUGAAAAGAACCUCGAACAGAGGAGUGAAACAGACCCUGAAACCAUGCGCCUACAAGCGGUCGGAGCAUGUUAAAAUGUGACGGCGUGCCUUUUGCAUAAUGAACCUACGAGUUACUCUCGCUGGCAAGGUUAAGCGAUUCAGUCGCGCAGCCGAAGCGAAAGCAAGUCCGAACAAGGCGUACAGUCAGCGGGAGUAGACGCGAAACCAAGUGAUCUACCCUUGGUCAGGUUGAAGGUUGGGUAACACCAACUGGAGGACCGCACCGAUAAGCGUUGAAAAGCUUACGGAUGAACUGAGGGUAGGAGUGAAAGGCCAAUCAAACUUGGAGAUAGCUCGUACUCCCCGAAAUGCAUUUAGGUGCAGCCUCGAAGUAAAGUGAUAGAGGUAGAGCGACUGAUAAGAUGCGAGGGCUUCACCGCCUAUCAAGUCUUGACAAACUCCGAAUGCGUGUCAGUUCUAUGUCAGGAGUGAGGGCAUGGGUGCUAAGGUCCAUGUCCUAAAGGAGAACAAUCCGGACCAACAGCUAAGGUCCCGAAAUGAAUACUAAGUUGAACUAACGAAGUCAGAUUGCUAAGACAGCUAGGAUGUUGGCUUGGAAGCAGCCAUUCAUUUAAAGAGUGCGUAACAGCUCACUAGUCGAGGAGUUUUGCAUGGAUAAUAAUCGGGCAUAAGCCCUUUACCGAAGCUGUGGAUGUCGUAAGACAUGGUAGGGGAGCAUUCCGGCGGCGACGAAGGCCGUCCUCGAGGACGACUGGAGCUUUCGGAAAAGCAAAUGUAGGUAUAAGUAACGAUAAAGGGGGCGUGAAACCCCCUCGCCAUAAGACUAAGGAUUCCUGAUCAACGCUAAUCGGAUCAGGGUAAGUCGGGCCCUAAGGCGCAGCCGAACGGCGUAGCCGAUGGAAGAAACGGUAAAGAUUCCGUUACUGGAUAUAGGAGCGAUGUGGAGACGGAGAAGUGACACACCCGCCUGCCGACGGAAGCGCAGGUUAAAGGAAGUAGGUAAACGCCGGGUAGGCAAAUCCGCCUGGCGUGCCGAAGCUGACAGUAUCGAGAGCCCCCGGGCAAUCGAAUAGCGGUGGUAAUCAGGCUCCCAAGAAAAUCCGCUAAGCAUAUUCUAUAUCCACCCGUACCCCAAACGGACACACGUAGUCGGGUAGAAUAUACCAAGGCGCUCGAAAGACUCACGGUUAAGGAACUAGGCAAAUUGACCCUGUAACCUCGGGAAAAAGGGUCCCCAGUAAGAUGGGGCGCAGAGAAUAGGUCCAGGCAACUGUUUAACAAAAACACAGGGCUGUGCAAAAUUUCAAGAUGAAGUAUACAGCCUGACACCUGCCCGGUGCCGGAAGGUUAAGAGGAGAGCUAAUCGCAAGAGAAGGCUUGAAUUGAAGCCCCGGUAAACGGCGGCCGUAACUAUAACGGUCCUAAGGUAGCGAAAUUCCUUGUCGGGU
rnacentral:rRNA from 1 species